rnacentral:lncRNA from 1 species
UUUACUCUCCAUCAUCUCUAUUUUCAAUUCAUUGAUUUUUUCGCCUUGUAUUCAUGUAUAUCUCCAUUUCUCUCUCUCACUUUUCAGCAUAUAUUUAAUGGCUGUCCAAACUCGGUAUCCAUCAAAUUUUCUUAUUAAUGGUAAUGCAAAACAAGGUAAUAAUUAUUCAUAGCAACCAUCGCAAUCUAGAGGACAAAUUCUUGAUAAAACACGCAUGUUCUUUGAUGGGACUAAUAAUCUAAUAAAGAGAAUGAUGACAGGGGUAUGCAUCUCACGAUCCAAAGUGGGAAGCAACAGAAGGGAGUUUUGUCAACUACAAUGCUUAAUACUUUAAAUAACAUAUUUGUAGCAAUGGAUAGUUUAUGAAAUCCACUUCUCUACCCUUAAACACCAUAUCAUUAAAGAGUUUUCCAAACUAGAGGAGAUCCCUCUAGAAUUUUGAAAACAUAUAAGACUUGAAAUCAUUGAUCUAGCAAAUCUGUUGUAAACUCAGCGACGAAAAUUCAAGAGGAACAAGCAGGUCUUUAGGUUUUCAAGUUUGAGUCCAUCCAAGAAGAAUCUAAAGGGUAAAAAUCUUCGUUCUCUGGAGUAAAUGUUAAUUAGCGAAUCAACAAACUAUGUUAUUUACCGAAGUGAUCACAAAAGUUUAGUUUUUAUUUCAUUUAAGUCACUUAGAACCAAAUGUGGAAUUUAGAACUGCUUGAUGUAUUUCUUGAAUCCCGAAGUGGUCAUUGCCCGGACAAAUCAUUUUUCUGUGACUGUAGUCUAUACCUAACUUUGCGAAUUAGGGAAUAUAAAGCUGGAGAGGCUUUCUAGAAGGUAUAUAGAACAGAAAUCAAAAGAGUUCUGUAUAUAUAUGAGUGCAUUGUGUUUAUAGCCUCCAAUUUUGUCCUGUUGGCACAACAAGACAUGAUUUUAACAUCAAAAUGCAUCCAUAUCAUAUUCAUGUAUUCCACACGAGACAUUUUGCUAAAGCGACUAACAAAAUCUAAUGAAGUGACCAAAUUGAAACAAAAAACAAAAUUUAAGACCACUUUUGGAAAAAAAAAAGUCUGUAAAUACCAUAAAACUUUUGACAAUAAGUUUAGUUACCAACAAAAUUUUUUAUCCUGGAUCUAAAGUUGUAUCUCUCAGCAAAAGGUUUAGGUGUUUUUACUUUCAUUUACCCUAAUACUUCUACACUUACAAGUUUUGAGUCCUAAAUCUUUUUCCAUUUAUCAUCCAACACAUAAAUCUCUCACAAAAUCCAUGAACAGAAGCAAAAAAUGAAAUACCUUGGCAAAAGUGAUAACCCAUGGCCACAGGAUUCACAAUCUUGUCACUAUCAGCUUGAACAUAGAUAUUCAUAUUCAUUCCCUCCAGUGAUUUUGGAUGUUAUCCAAACUCUUGUCUUGCCACGGUAUCUCAUGGAAAAAUAUGACGACUGAUGGUUCAUUGCCCAAUCUUGAAGACAUCAAAUUGCAGAUCUAUACCUGCGAAGACCCAGAACGGGAAGCAACGAAAGGGGAAUUUCGUCUACUAAAACUGUAAGUACAGAUCUACCAAGAAGAAUCUAGAACGGCGAAUCCUUCAAGAUUGGGCAACAAACCAACAAUCGGCAAAUUUGCUCAAUUUCCUCGGAUAUUCGGCUUCCACAAGGGCCUUACUUUUACAGUCAAGUUGAAAAAGGGGUUAGGGGAAGGAGGACAGAGGGAAGUAGUAUGCUUCAGGGGCAGCGAGGUUGGAGGGGUCGGCAGAGGCAGCUGCGGC